CCUUCUGUUUGUUGUUUGUCCUUGUGCAUGUGAUGGCCCAAGCUGGUUGAUCUGAGACUUGCAUGAAAACAUUACCUCAUGGACUUUUUCAAGGGUGCGAGGUGAAAGCAGAAGCCAGAGGUUCUGUCCUCCAGAUCCAUCUUUGGAAUUCAAGAACUGAGAGGAAAUAGCCAGUGAAAACACAAGCCGCUCCUUUUAUCUGAAGUCCUGCACAACGGUGUCUGCUUGGGUGGGAGGGGGGUGGCCGGCAUCCUAUUCUGCUUCCCCAGAGAACCUCUUGUCUCCAGGCAUCUGUCAGGUGUCCUCUCUUAAAGGGCAGCCUUUCCACUCUCAGGACCUUUUCACCUAUGGUCUCCCUCCAUCCUUAAAUAGUUCACUUAGAAGAACAGGAAUGAUGUAAGGGAGAGAAAAAGAAGGAAUGAAAAGACACUCUCUCUGUGGUAGGUGGAGAUGUCUGCCCAGAGGUUAGUUUCUAACGGGACGUCCCAGCAAUCUGCAUGUAAUCCUGAUUACACCUGGGAAUAUGAGUAUUAUGAGAUUGGACCAGCUUCCUUUGAAGGACUGAAGGCUCACAAAUGAUUCCAGGGAAAAGGCCUGGGCUGCGGUCACAGUGGGCGGGGCCCCCAGGCCGGACCGCCCCUCCAGGACCCCCGACGGGACCCUGCGCUCCUGGCGGCUUCCUCCCCCGGCGCCCGCCUCCCUCCCAGAAGGCCUCGGGGCAGAGCUGUCCCACCACCGUGCCCAGAACGGAGCCCGCGUUUCCGCAGAGCUGGAACUCCUGGCUGGGGGUCUCUUCCCUCUGCCGUCACGGAACUGCCCCAGAGCCCGAGGGGAGGGCGGCCUCACUGAGGCUGCCGGCUCUGGAGGGGCCCCGGCGGCCGAAGCCGCUACAGCCGUGGGGACGGCGGGCCGGGCCUCUCACUGUUGUGACCUCUCCCA